UACAGAGGGGGCAAGCGUUGUUCGGAAUUACUGGGCGUAAAGGGCGCGUAGGCGGCCUUCUAAGUCGAACGUGAAAUCCCCGGGCUCAACCCGGGAACUGCGUCCGAUACUGGAAGGCUUGAAUCCGGGAGAGGGAUGUGGAAUUCCAGGUGUAGCGGUGAAAUGCGUAGAUAUCUGGAGGAACACCGGAGGCGAAAGCGGUCCACUGGGCAACUUCUGACGCUGAGGUGCGAAAGCUAGGGUAGCAAACGGG
rnacentral:rRNA from 1 species